UUUAUGGAGAGUUUGAUCCUGGCUCAGAGUGAACGCUGGCGGCGUGCCUAAUACAUGCAAGUCGAACGAUGAAGCUUCUAGCUUGCUAGAAUGCUGAUUAGUGGCGCACGGGUGAGUAACGCAUAGGUCAUGUGCCUCUUAGUUUGGGAUAGCCAUUGGAAACGAUGAUUAAUACCAGAUACUCCCUACGGGGGAAAGAUUUAUCGCUAAGAGAUCAGCCUAUGUCCUAUCAGCUUGUUGGUAAGGUAAUGGCUUACCAAGGCUAUGACGGGUAUCCGGCCUGAGAGGGUGAACGGACACACUGGAACUGAGACACGGUCCAGACUCCUACGGGAGGCAGCAGUAGGGAAUAUUGCUCAAUGGGGGAAACCCUGAAGCAGCAACGCCGCGUGGAGGAUGAAGGUUUUAGGAUUGUAAACUCCUUUUGUUAGAGAAGAUAAUGACGGUAUCUAACGAAUAAGCACCGGCUAACUCCGUGCCAGCAGCCGCGGUAAUACGGAGGGUGCAAGCGUUACUCGGAAUCACUGGGCGUAAAGAGCGCGUAGGCGGGAUAGUCAGUCAGGUGUGAAAUCCUAUGGCUUAACCAUAGAACUGCAUUUGAAACUACUAUUCUAGAGUGUGGGAGAGGUAGGUGGAAUUCUUGGUGUAGGGGUAAAAUCCGUAGAGAUCAAGAGGAAUACUCAUUGCGAAGGCGACCUGCUGGAACAUUACUGACGCUGAUUGCGCGAAAGCGUGGGGAGCAAACAAGAUUAGAUACCCUGGUAGUCCACGCCCUAAACGAUGGAUGCUAGUUGUUGGAGGGCUUAGUCUCUCCAGUAAUGCAGCUAACGCAUUAAGCAUCCCGCCUGGGGAGUACGGUCGCAAGAUUAAAACUCAAAGGAAUAGACGGGGACCCGCACAAGCGGUGGAGCAUGUGGUUUAAUUCGAAGAUACACGAAGAACCUUACCUAGGCUUGACAUUGAGAGAAUCCGCUAGAAAUAGUGGAGUGUCUGGCUUGCCAGACCUUGAAAACAGGUGCUGCACGGCUGUCGUCAGCUCGUGUCGUGAGAUGUUGGGUUAAGUCCCGCAACGAGCGCAACCCCCUUUCUUAGUUGCUAACAGGUUAUGCUGAGAACUCUAAGGAUACUGCCUCCGUAAGGAGGAGGAAGGUGGGGACGACGUCAAGUCAUCAUGGCCCUUACGCCUAGGGCUACACACGUGCUACAAUGGGGUGCACAAAGAGAAGCAAUACUGCGAAGUGGAGCCAAUCUUCAAAACACCUCUCAGUUCGGAUUGUAGGCUGCAACUCGCCUGCAUGAAGCUGGAAUCGCUAGUAAUCGCAAAUCAGCCAUGUUGCGGUGAAUACGUUCCCGGGUCUUGUACUCACCGCCCGUCACACCAUGGGAGUUGUGUUUGCCUUAAGUCAGGAUGCUAAAUUGGCUACUGCCCACGGCACACACAGCGACUGGGGUGAAGUCGUAACAAGGUAACCGUAGGUGAACCUGCGGUUGGAUCACCUCCUUUCUAGA
rnacentral:rRNA from 1 species